rnacentral:rRNA from 1 species
CCUACGGGUGGCAGCAGUGGGGAAUAUUGGGCAAUGGAGGCAACUCUGACCCAGCAACGCCGCGUGAAUGAUGAAGGUCUUCGGAUUGUAAAGUUCUUUUCUCAGGGAAGAAGAACUUGACGAUACCUUACUACUCAGCCUCGGCUACCUACGUGCCAGCAGCCGCGGUAAUACGUAGGAGGCAAGCGUUAACCGGAAUGACUGGGCGUAAUGGGUGCGUAGGUGGUCUGACAAGUUAGUAGCGCAACUCCGGAGCUCAACUUCGGAACUACUACUAAAACUGUUAGGCUUGAGUGCAGGAGGGGCAAGCGGAAUUCCUGGUGUAGCGGUGGAAUGCGUAGAGAUUAGGAGGAACACCAGUGGCGAAGGCGGAUUGCUAGACUGUAACUGACGCUGAGGCACGAAAGCGUGGGGAGCAAACAGGAUUAGAUACCCUUGUAGUC